UACGUAGGUGGCAAGCGUUGUCCGGAUUUAUUGGGUUUAAAGGGUGCGUAGGCGGCCCUGUAAGUCAGCGGUGAAAUACGGCAGCUCAACUGUCGAGGUGCCGUUGAUACUGCGGGGCUUGAGUGUUGACGAGGAAGGCGGAAUUGACGGUGUAGCGGUGAAAUGCUUAGAUAUCGUCAAGAACACCGAUAGCGAAGGCAGCCUUCCAGGCAACAACUGACGCUGAGGCACGAAAGUGCGGGGAU
rnacentral:rRNA from 1 species